AUUCAGAUGGGCAGAUUGGGAA
rnacentral:miRNA from 1 species